AGGCAGGCUGGAGAUUUUUAUUAUUAUUUUGAGUAUUCCUUAUUUAUCAGUGUGACAUUUACAUCCACUCCAUCUUUUCUUCAAGGAGGCUCAAGGUGGCAUUCGUGAGUCUCCUGUUCUCCGUGUUAUCUUCGCAACAACUCUGUGAGGAUAAGGAUAAGGAGAGAACCAGAACUGGUGGAGGUCACACAUCUUUUCUCCCAAAAGAGACACAACUGUGGCAGCAGGAACCCCUUCUGAACCAAGGACUUCCUAGACUUUACCUGCUCUGCCCUGUGGGACCUGGGAAUGGACAAGUCAGUUAAUGUCAGUUUCUCUCAGUUUCUUAUUUUUCCAAUGCUAGGUCCCAGCAUUUUGCUUUCAGUCCAUGCAUGUCACUGUAUGACUAGAGAAAGCUGAAGAUGUGUGCAGGCCACAGAACCCGAUGAUCAGAAAACCAUGGUAUUCUUCCACUGCCCACUUAACUUCACGAGUUUACAAAUGACGCCUCGACACCUGCAAGGAAGAGGAAUGAGCAGAAUUCAAGGACACAUUCCAGCCAGGCAAAAACACUCAAGGAGGGUGUGAAGCUGGGCCAGUGGGGGGGUGGCCUGGGGGGGUCCAAAGGGCCAAAUAGAGAGACGUACCGGGUCACAUUGCCCCCUCCCAAGUCCUGAGGUGCCAAAGCCCUUCUCUGUUGUGCCAUUGAUCGAAGUAUGCCCAGCCUAUUUUUAUUUCCAUGUCACUUGAUGAAUAAUGCCACAUCUAUGACAAUUACCAGUGGUUUACCGGGCCCAAUUCAAGGUGUUGGUAUUGACCUUUAAAACCCUAUACGGUUUCGGCCCGGUUUAUCUAAAGGACCGCCUCCAGCACCUGGUCCAGCUGCACUGGCUACCAAUAUGUUUCCGGGCCAGAUUCAAAGUGUUGGUUCUUACCUAUAAAGCCCUUAACGGCAUCGGACCGCAAUACCUGGCGGAACGCCUCUCCCGCUAUGUACCUACCCGGUUGCUGCGCUCAACGUCGAAGGCCCUUCUCCGUGUCCCAACGCAUAGGGAGGCAUGGAGAACGAUAACUAGAGCUAGGGCCUUCUCAGUGGUGGCCCCCGAACUAUGGAACGCCCUCCCUGAUGAGAUACGCCUGGCGCCUUCUUUGUUAUCUUUUCGGCGCCAGGUAAAGACCUACCUCUUCGCCCAGGCAUUUUAAAAAUUUAAAAAUUUGAAUUUAAAAUUGAAAAUUUUUAAUUAUGUUUUAUUGUGUAUUGUAUUUACAUCCACUUGUAUU